CAGGGGUAAAAUGGUAAUUUUAAAACUUUUUCAAAAUUACUAUUUUACAGUGAAAAUUAUUAAUUAAUCUAAUUAAUUAAUAAAAAUUUAUCCUACACUAGGAUGUAAAUAUGAUAUAUAGCAUGCAUGCAUUUUAAAUUUGAAAUUCGAAUUUGAACAGUAAACACUUUACUGUAAUGUGUUCAGAAUACAAUACCUUUGUGCGGGUAGUAGAUC
rnacentral:lncRNA from 1 species